GUCUUUCGUUGUGAUGUGUAUUCUCAUUCUUGCCGAGUUUCACAAAAACGAGUUCUACGUUUAAUGUACAUUAAACACAGAUUGGUGAAGUCUUAGAUGAAACAUAAAAUCGUGAGAAUGAUUAGAAGAACGUGAAACAUAUGGAUUUACAAACCGUUGCAUGUUAAUAUGAUAGAAUGAAGAAGUGUGUUACUGAAAUUGAAAAACGUAAUACGAGAAGUGGGGCGACUGCUUUGAUCAAACGUUGUGAAUUAACAAUUGCAUCAUGCUUUCCAUACCUUUUGCUGUUUGAGGUGUAUUUUUUGUUUAAAAGUUGUUACUUAACAUUAUAAUGAAGGAAUAAGUUUCAGUGGUUAGUGUAAAAGGUCGCCAAUACUUUUGCAAUGCUGUUUAAUGCUAGUUCGAAAACUGCUUUAGUUCUUUAAUGGGCAGUUUUCUGGGUAUCUAUAACAGUAGCUGAUUGAUUAGAACAAUUAUCAGUGUCAUUCAUAUAUAAUUUCAUACGUACUGAUAUCGGAAAUGUAGACAACAAUAAUUUGGAUAAUAAUUUGCGCUUAUAUUGUGAUAUGUAUGUACACCCAUUUAAACACGGCCCAAAUUAAUUAUUGUUACAGUUGAAUCUCGCACACGACUUCACAGAGGCUAACGUACACUCGCCUAAUUCGAAGUGUCGCAACUCGAUAUCGGAUAUCGGAUUAAUACAUAUUGUAGGUCUUAGUUAUUAACUGAUGGACAAUACAAACAAUUGAUUGAAAUUUACUUCGCAACUGCAACUGUGCAUGCGAUUAAAAUCGCAACUCCUAUUAGGUACUGCAGUGAUAAUACAUCAUUUUGUGAACUCCAGGUGAAGAACAGCAACAAAUGUAUUACGGACUUUGUGGCCGAGCGGUUAGCACACGGGAAAUCCUCCACUAGUUCAGUGGGUAUUUUGUGAUCCGUUGUUUAAUGUUAGUGUUCAUUCAGUCUGUGGAGCCUCUGAUUUAAUAAGAUGUAGUUUUUUUUAUGGAAAAUUGUUAUGAAACUUUUGAGGAAUGAUAAUAGGAAGGUUACACGCUUUCAAAUUUGAGAGAGGAGAUAUUACAAGCAAUCUGGAAAUUCAUAGAAAAGGAAAUACUUUGGUUGAGAGUAGAAACAUUUUUAUAGUGAAUGUAUUCGAUUAUAUUUCUGAAAUUUGUGCGGCGGCAUUUAGUCGUUUACAAGGUCGUUUAGGUAUUAUCUGCUCGAUUAAUCCUUAGCUGAUUUCCACAUUUAUUGUGGAAGACAUGAACAUCAAAUGAAGUUGAUGUACUGGCGACCAUCCAUGACGAUUUUGUACAUUUGCUGAUGCAGGAAGAUUUUUCUCUGAACUUUUUUUUUUUCGAGUAGGGAAGGAAUGUAGAGAUAUAUACUAGGAGUAUUCGUUUCAGUGUGGCAAUACAGAAUCCAACUAUAUUGGGCUGUCAAACAGAACAACAACAACACGCGGGAGGCAAUUAGGUGCAGGAAUUAGGAACGAACGGCGGUGAUGUGCGGCGAACAGUUUAGGACGCGCGUAAUCGACGGAACUGGAUUGCUCGGCUCCCAACGGACGACUCUACAGGGCGCUGUCAGUGUUUGGACGAAAAAGUGAUCAGUGAACCACUCGGCAGUUUUUCUUCCCUUCUGUUGGUUCUGUUUCAAUUACCAAGCGGUGUAUGUUCUCUCGUCGAGUCGCAUGGUUCACGAAGGAACACAAAGAGGAUACUCCGAUAUAAACAAGCUGCGGCGAUGAGCGGGCAUCGCUAAGUGUAACACUUACCGAUGAUCGCUCAUCGUUGGCUUGGGGCAACUGUGAAUAAUCGUUAUUUUCAUCAGUAUUUAAUGCGUUUUCGCUUUAAAAACGUGAAAUACUAUUUAAUUUAACUGUAUUCAUGACGUUGCAGGUUGUGUAGUCACAAUAAAAAAAGAAUUAUGGCAAUAACAUAUUCUAACCGAAUGCAUCGCUUUCAUUAGCGUCAUCGAGCAUCUUCUCUCUUGAUUGCGCUCUCGUAUCGAACCGGGCAAGAGAAUGAUCAGCAUUUCGGGGAGCGUUCCCGAGCAUGUUGGUUCAUGAAAUGUUACAUUCGCGAAUGUAUCACUUGCUGAGCAUGGACCAUUCAGUGGUUCGUGAUAAAAAUCCACACACUGGGCGCUGUAUAGCGCACAAGGUGUACAAUACAGCGCCCCACUUCCGACAUUGUGUUUAACGCAAGGCAAAAGCAGCGGAAGUCAAAGAAAAAAUGUCGCUAAUUCGGUUUUGAACUGGAAACAUAAUAUGCAUAAAUCUUAGAGUGCUUGCUGUCACCUACUCGUAGCGGAUACAUAUGUAAAUAAAGAAGUCAGUUCUAUUCAGACCAACGUCGAGUGUAAGAGUGAAAGAGAAGAAGAUAAUUUUAUGCAGUUCCCUAUAUACGGAUAGCCAUUGCUGUGUGCACGAUUGAGGCGAGGGUAUCCAAAAUUUACGCUUCAUGCUCUUUUUUGGUUUGUAUUGAAAGUGUUUCCCAAUGCGUUGUGCAUUGCGGAAUAUAUUUGUUUGUGGAAUGGAUGCCGCGCCUAAAGAAAAUAGGCUCAACCAUAAUUGAACACACCAUAAUUUGAUACACCAGGCGAAGUAUUGAGUCAACGACCAACUGUAAGUAAAUAUUUUGUUGAUAAUAAUUACGAGUGAAGUCACGUUACUUUAAGGUAUUUGCGUUUGUUUUAUUAAUAGAGGUUUAUGUUGAGUUGCGUUUGAUUUAUUUUUUGAGAAGUGGUGUGUGAAGGGGGUACAAAAUGUAGCACACUAUUGCAACAGUAGUUCACAUUUCUAAUUUUAUACCAGGUACCAGGUUCACUACUUGAGUGCAUUGGAGACAGAAAUCUGAAUGGAUGCAGUGAAAUGGGUCGAGCACCGGAUUCACUGCUUAUGAAAAAGAUAAUGAUUCUAGAUUAGUUGAUUAAAACAAGUGAAAUGGGUUGUAUACCUGAUUCAUUAUAAUUAGGUGCAUUGUAUGAGAUGAAAACAAAUGCGUUGAAAUGAGUCGAGUACUGGAUUCACUGGUAGUUAAAAAAACAAUUGUUGAGAGGAGUUUAUUACUGGGAUAUAUUUUGAAAUAGACGAAGUGUAUAAGAGACUCAAAUAUAAAAUGAUUCAGUGAAAUGGGUCGAGUACCGGAUUCACUGAUGAUUCUAGGUUAUUUGGUAGUGGAGCUGAUAUGUACUUCUAGAUUGGUUGAUUGAACGAAGUGAAAUGGGUUGCAUACCGGAUUCACUUACGUUAAAACGGUAUAAUGCGCCCCACCGGGGCAAAACGCCUUCCUUCAUUUUCUUGCGAUUCAAGCGCUUUUCGCAUGCGUGAUCGAUUAGAAAUCUUAAAUAUUGAAGGAAAGCAAUAAAAAUAUCAAAAAGUCUGAAAUCGAGGCUUUUGGCGUAAUAUUUUACCUCUUGUAAGCUGGCUUCAUUGUAAACGAAGCAAGUUCUGUUCGCUUGUGUUAUUUUGCAACUUGUAUGCAGUUAAACACUCGUUAAAAGACCCUCAGAGGAAAAGCAUGUGGUAGUAUUAUCCCCUGGUACACUUUUAUCACGGGGCUUGACGUUUUAAUUUGAUGGGGCGUAUUGUCCCGUUUGUUUUGAAAAGGCAAAUUCUGGAACGUUUUCGAAAAACGUUUCAAAGCUUCCAUAGUCGCCCCUCCAGAGGCAAAGUUCCCAUGCAACACUUCACUGACUUUAGGAACAACGAUUUGCAGUGGACAAUAGAUGGAAUAAGGCGCCAGUUUGAGAUACACUCAGAAAUAAAAGUAUACACUGCAUUACUAUUAUUUAUGCAUUUUGUAUCGGCAUCUCUCUCACUCUCUUUCUGUUUUCAUGCUAUCUGGUGCUUCGCCUGGGUUGACGAAACACUUCUCUUCAACCCAGGCUAAACGGCAGAUAGCAUGAAAACAGAAAGAGAGUGAGAGAGAUGCGGAUACAAAAUGCAUAAAUAAUAGUAAUUCCGUGUAUACUUUUAUUUCUGAGUGUAUAUUGCCAUUUCUGCUUAAGGGGGGCAUAUUAUACCUGUUUACCCUAUUAGGCGCAUUAUUUCCAUAUGGUAUUGGUUCUCUUAUUAAGCAUGUGGCAUUUUCAUCCUACGAAAAACAAAGGAUUGAAGCGCUGUUUGUUUUGUUUCUUAUUUUUGUUUUUUUUUGUUAGAAGUGAGCAACCGGUUCCGGUACACAACGGGUUCAGAUAUGGUCUGAAACUAUUUUCCUGCUUAUCGUUCAUCUUGUUACCGAAACAGCCGCUGUUUGAUGUGUCGCAUGCCUGGGUUUGGUUCUUUUUUUUAAUUGGCUACUUCCAGCGGGACACCUGGAACCGGUUCGGGAGCACAACCGGUUCAGAUAUGGUCUGAAACUAUUUUACUGCUUAUCGUUCAUCUGGUUAUCGAUACAGCCGCUAUUUGGUGUGUCGCAUGCAUGGGUUUGGUUCACUUUUUUAGUUGGCCACUUCCGGCGGGACACCUGGAACUGGUUCUGAAACACCAUCGGUUCAGAUAUAGUCUGAAACUACUUUCCUGCUUACCGUUCAUCAGGUUAUCGCAAAAGCCACAGUUCGAUGUGUCGCAUGCCUGGGUUUGGUUCUUUUUUUAAUUGGCUACUUCCAGCGGGACACCUGGAACCGGUUCCGGAACACAACCGGUUCAGAUAUGGUUUGAAACUAUUUUACUGCUUACCGUUCAUCUGAUUAUCGAUACAGCCGCUAUUUGGUGUGUUGCAUGCAUGGGUUUGGUUCACUUUUUUAGUUGGCCACUUCCGGCGGGACACCUGGAACCGGUUCUGAAACACUACUGGUUCAGAUAUAGUCUGAAACUACUUUCCUGCUUACCGUUCAUCAGGUUAUCGCAAAAGCCACAGUUCGAUGUGUCGCAUGCCUGGGUUUGGUUCUUUUUUUAAUUGGCUACUUCCAGCGGGACACCUGGAACCGGUUCCGGAACACAACCGGUUCAGAUAUGGUUUGAAACUAUUUUACUGCUUACCGUUCAUCUGAUUAUCGAUACAGCCGCUAUUUGGUGUGUUGCAUGCAUGGGUUUGGUUCACUUUUUUAGUUGGCCACUUCCGGCGGGACACCUGGAACCGGUUCUGAAACACUACUGGUUCAGAUAUAGUCUGAAACUACUUUCCUGCUUACCGUUCAUCAGGUUAUCGCAAAAGCCGCAAUUCGAUGUGUCGCAUGCCUGGGUUUGUUUUUUUAAUUAGCUACUUCCAGUGGGACACCUGGAACCGGUUCCGGAACACAAUUGGUUCAGAUAUGGUCUGAAACUAUUUUCCUGCUUACCGUUCAUCUGGUUAUCGAUACAGCUGCUAUAUGGUGUGUCGCAUGCCUGGGUUUGGUUCACUUUUUAAUUGGCCACUCCCAGCGGGACACCUGGAACCGGUUCCGGAACACAACCGGUUCAGAUAUGGUUUGAAACUAUUCUCCUGCUUACCGUUCAUCAUGUUAUCGAAAAAGCCGCUGUUUGAUGUGUCGCAUGCCUGGGUUUGGUUCUUUUUUUAAUUGGCUACUUCCAGCGGGACACCUGGAACCGGUUCCGGAACACAACCGGUUCAGAUAUGGUUUGAAACUAUUUUACUGCUUACCGUUCAUCUGGUUAUCGAUACAGCCGCUAUUUGGUGUGUCGCAUGCAUGGGUUUGGUUCACUUUUUUAGUUGGCCACUUCCGGCGGGACACCUGGAACCGGUUCUGGAACACUACGGAUUCAAAUAUAGUCUGAAACUACUUUCCUGCUCACCAUUCAGAUGGUUAUCGAAAAUGCCGCUAUUUGACGCAUGCAUGGGUUAUGUUCACUUUUAUAUUUGGCCACUUCCGACGGGACACCCGGAACCGGUUCCGGAACACUACCGGUUCAGUUAUAGUCUGAGACUAUUUUUCUACUUCCCGUUCAUCAGAUAAUCGAAAAUGCAGUGGUUUGAUGGGUCGCAUGCAUGGGUUUGUUGCAUUUUUAUAUCUGGCCCCUUCCUGGGGUACCGGUUCGGAACACCUAAAUGGCCAUAACUCCGGAACGGCUGGACCGAUCUGAACCAUUUUCAAUAGGAAACAAUGGGGCAAUAUACCGCGUCGAAUGAACCAUCGGUCGUUGAAAUCGGUUCAUAUUUACUAUCUAAAAACCCUAAUUAAUCCACCUAGCGGUGAUGGUGCCUUUCUCGUGCUUUAAAAUAUCCUUUCAACAAAACUCAAGCGACGUGUUGAUGACAUUGACAUAAAUACAAAAUGAAAACUGCUUGCUAAAUCUACCUAAUAUGGAUACAUUUUAUAUUAGCAUAACAUCCAAUAUUCAGAAAAAAUAAGACAACGAUCCAAAAUUCAAACCAAACAAGUGUUAUGAAGCCGCAAAAUUUCGAAACGUCAUUUAAGAUUUUCCGGUCAUCAUUUUUUGACUCCGGAUAUCUACGCCAACUAAACUAAGCGCCAUCUUGAAUAUUAGGACACCAUCUUGGAUGUUCUGGUAUACAUUUUUGGACUCUGCACCUAAAAUGACAUAAAAUACAGUCGGAACCCGCUCGUUGAGCCACAACCUCCACCCAACCAACGAAUUCGAUUCGCUAGUUGGGUGAAGUGACAGCAGCACAAGGGGCGUGCUCAUUGUUUAAUUGUACAUAUUCUUUCUUUUUUUAAGAAAUCUCUCUGAUAACAUGUCAAACCACCACAAUCGGGCAAGACAAAGUUUGCCGGGACAGCUAGUAUGAAAUAUAAAUUCUUUUCGAUUAUCAGUAAAGUUUAAGAAACCAAAAACUCAUUAGCUCGCCCCUCGGAAUUACAGAUUGGUUGUCAUUUUCAGUUUGACAUUGAAUUAUGACAUCCAGGUACUUUUUAGUUGGCUGACAGCUCAACUAACGAGGCCCCAACUAAAAAGUCACCCAACUAUUAAGCUCCCAACCAGCGGGUCAUGACUGUAGUCACCGUAUUGAAGUUUGGCAUGCCGUCUAUGAUUUUCUGGUUACCUGUUUUGGACGAAGACCGGCAUUCUUCCCCACUUAAACUAUAGUCAUAUUGCAGACCUUGUGAAACAGCGCACAGCUUGGGUUUUCUGAUUACAAAUUCGCAACACAAGCAAUCAAACUACUGUCCGAAACAAAAAUGUCAAACGAAUGCACUUCACGACGAUUCUGGACUUGUUUUCCGUAAGAAUAAGUCUACUCUUCUUGGUGGUUAAACAUAAAGUCAUUUAUUUCUGUUUCAUUACAAACGUUGAAGGUUCUUAAGCUAAUUCAUUAAGCUAAUGGUUUUGGUGGGAGAAGUUUAGAUACAAUUAUUUACCGAUCGUCCAAUCACAGGAAAGUAGAAAUGACAAAACAUCUACCAAUAUGUGCGCGCGAACACGGCACUGGUAUGUUCUAGAUGUGCGCCGAUGGCUUAAGCCAAAGAUAGGGAGAAAGAGAACAGAAUUGCAAAGCGCACUACCCGCAUAGAGAAAUACAGUUUGUCUUAAUCUCCAAACAGUAAAUUUAAUGUAUCUGUUGUUGUUAAUGUAUAACAAACAGUUGCUUUUAUGUUGAAGAUUAUGAGGUUCAACGCGUUCAACUAUAAAUCACAGUCUAUGCAAUCCAUACCAAUUGGUGACAUUAUAUUACACUGUGCAGAUAUUGUUGAAUGUUAUGAUGAUGGAAACUCACAAAUAAUGGUGGCAAUAUUAAAUCACAUUAUGUCAAACUGUUUGUGCUCCUUCUGUGCAACACACUGACACACAUGCGUAAAAAUGGUUAGUUACUAAUGUUGAACAAUAUGACAAACAGUUGCACGCAUAAGUAUUUGUGAAUCAAUGAAAACUGGCUGACGGCUGUAAACUUUCAAAACAAAGGGAAAAAAUAAGAGUAGAAAAAUGUGAAAAUUGCAAUUUUUGUAAGUUUGUAAAUAUCUGCCGCAAAUAAUUGUUGCAUUGGAGCAUGAGCAGAAGUUCACGUGAUGGUAGCGACGGAACCGAAGCGGUUCCCACCAGGAGACGUUUAUAGCCGUCCUCAUUGGGAGCCUACACGGCAUCACUCCGGUGACCAACUCCCCUUUCAUCUAGAAUGCCUGCCGUCUAUACCGCGCACCAUCCGGACGGCUCAGCGACAAGGCAAGAUGUGCAUCGUCCACUUAAAGUGAGAAAUUUAGCAGCAGAAAGAUGUUGGUGUUUCUACGGGUGGACACUGGACAGUGAAGUCGUCUGACACCGGUCUGCACGACCGACGACGGAGUUGGAGAAGCAGAAGGACACGUUUUUUAUAGGUAUAUGAGAUUGUAAUUAAUAAAUAUAUUUGUUUUAUUGAUUAA